rnacentral:rRNA from 1 species
UGAGGAAUCUUGCGCAAUGGGGGAAACCCUGAUCCAGCCAUGCCGCGUGCGUGAAGAAGGCCUUAGGGUUGUAAAGCGCUUUCGGCGGGGAAGAUGAUGACGGUACCCGCAGAAGAAGCCCCGGCUAACUCCGUGCCAGCAGCCGCGGUAAUACGGAGGGUGCAAGCGUUGUUCGGAAUUACUGGGCGUAAAGCGCGUGUAGGUGGUCGAGUAAGUCGAAUGUGAAAGCCCCGGGCUCAACCCGGGAAGUGCAUCCGAAACUGCUCGACUAGAGUCCCGGAGAGGAAGGCAGAAUUCCCAAUGUAGGGGUGAAAUCCGUAGAUAUUGGGAGGAAUACCGGUGGCGAAGGCGGCCUUCUGGACGGUGACUGACACUCAGACGCGAAAGCGUGGGGAGCAAACAGGAUUAGAUACCCCCGUAGUCCCUGAGCGGGCUGGCAAGGCGCAU